CCCUUAUCGUAGCAUAGAAAACACUUUUUCGUAUUUGACUUGCAGUAUUUGAGACCCUCAGUAGUGAGUUCGGAUAUGCAGCCACGUGUGUUCAAUUUUCUUCCGGAAGGGAGCGAGAAAAAUCCUAACUCCAAUUUGUUUCUAGUAUCAGAGUGGGGCCGUUAAGAUAAAGUGAUGCACUCGCUUCUGUGAGCUCCAACUACGGAAAGACCAGCAAGAAGUUAUCGCUCUUUGGCUCAGAGAGUAAAAACUAUAUAAUAAUAAUAAUAAUAUAAUGGUCCACCAAAAUUAAUGAUA